rnacentral:lncRNA from 1 species
CAGGCAGGGGCGGAAGCAGUGGUAUCAGGGGCUGCGCAGGAAGAGGUUGUGUUUCAGCUGCCAGUGGUGUCGGAUCCAGUGGUCGAAGAGGUUGCACAGCCUGCUUUUGUUGAGGAGCCCAUGGUCGAAGAGUUCAUCGUGGAUCAUCCUUCAUCCCCCCAACACCUUGACUAGACGAAUCCCUCUUAUGUCUCUUUUGUUUGUACAAGAUUGUCUUCUUUUUUUUUUUUUUGUAGGACUUAUUCCUGUUGUAAAAUUUCCUUUGGACCUAUUUUAUAUAAUCGUGUGAUUUGAUCCUCUUGAAUGUUCUGGAUGGUGUUCUUUUAUUUUUAUUGUUAUCGUGUAAUAUUCCCAUAUUUUAU